CCACUCCGCUAAACUGUCAUCUCAAACAAAAAAAAAUGGAUCAUACAACUGCUAUGAAUACAUUCGACUCGUUUGCUUCCAUCAAUCGGUAAAUGAGAAAGAUGAUUUCUCCCAUCACCACAGUGCGGAUUUCCACUUCUAUCACAGCAGCCAACAACAUCCGUUUUCCUGCAGCAGUAACCACCAACCCCUGUUGGCAAUGCCGUGGGACAGCAUCAACAGCAGCAGCAGCAGAAUUUGACCAUGGUAUGGUAUUGCGAAGAACAGGUUCCGUGCUUCGCGCACAUUCAAAAAUCCUCUUCAGACACGAAAACUCAACGACAAGGAGGUAUUUAUCAACUUGCUCAGCUGAAUUACCACCCCGGAGGAACCCGAAUGCACUGAUUCCGUUGUAUAGUAGAAUGAAAACAGGCGAGGUAAGCGAACGUAAUCGCAUGAUAUUUUAAUGUUCGCAUUUUUAUCCGGAUCAUACAACUGCUAUGAAUACAUCCGACUCAAUCAAUCGACGAGUGAGAAAGAUGAUUUCCCUCAUCACCACAUUGCUUAUUUCCACUUCUGUCACACCAGCCAACAGCAUCAGCUUUCCCGCAGCAGUAUCCUUUAAGACCAGGGUGCUAUUCCGGGGAACAGCAUCAACAGCAACAGUAUCAGGACCUGGCCAUCGAUAGUAUUUCGAGCAAUUUUCCCCAUCGGAGAUCCCGUGCUUCACGCACAUUGCAGAAUCCUCCUCAGCCACAUAUCUGUGUCAUCCAGGACAAGGAGGUAUUCAUCAAUGUACUCAGUCGGAUUUGAAUCGUCAAUCCAGACAACCCGGAUGCACCGAUU